CAGCAGCCGCGGUAAUACGGAGGGUGCAAGCGUUAAUCGGAAUUACUGGGCGUAAAGCGCACGCAGGCGGUCUGUCAAGUCGGAUGUGAAAUCCCCGGGCUCAACCUGGGAACUGCAUUCGAAACUGGCAGGCUAGAGUCUUGUAGAGGGGGGUAGAACUCCAGGUGUAGCGGUGAAAUGCGUAGAGAUCUGGAGGAAUACCGGUGGCGAAGGCGGCCCCCUGGACAAAGACUGACGCUCAGGUGCGAAAGCGUGGGGAGCAAACAGGAUUAGAUACCCGUGUAGUCCCUGUCUCUUAUAA
rnacentral:rRNA from 1 species